GGAGCAUUCGUCUAUCGGUUAGGACAGUGGGUUUUCAGUCCACUAAGAGCGGUUCGACUCCGCUAUGCUCUACCA
rnacentral:tRNA from 1 species